rnacentral:rRNA from 1 species
AAGUUUUAUAUGAUCGCGAGUCAAAGGGCAGUACGAAACCCCAGGGCGUAAUUAAUGUAAAGGUCUGCUUUAGUAGGCUGAGAUGUGACCUGACUUUAAUAUAUCAGUGCAAAAUCGACCCGUCUGAAGAUGUUCGCAUCUGGGCGGAGUUUGAGCGAUCAUGUAGAGACCCCAAAGAUGGUGAACUAUGCUUGUGCAGGUUGAAGUCAGAGGAAACUCUGAUGGAGGACCGCCGCGGUUCUGACGUGCAAAUCGAUCGUCGGACAUGAGUAUAGGGGCGAAAGACUAAUCGAACCAUCUAGUAGCUGGUUCCCUCCGAAGUUUCCCUCAGGAUAGCUGGCAUUUGUUGUCGUAGUUUUACCUGGUAAAGCGAAUGAUUAGAAGUAUUGGGGGCGAAAUGCCUUCAACUUAUUCUCAAACUUUAAAUGGGUUCGAUGUGUAGCUCGCUUCAUUGGAGUUGCACGUUGAAUACGAAUGCCUAGUGGGCCAUUUUUGGUAAGCAGAACUGGCGAUGUGGGAUGAACCAAACAUCUGGUUAAGGUGCCUAACACCACGCUCAUGAGAACCCACAAAAGGUGUUGGUUGAUAAAGACAGCAGGACGGUGGACAUGGAAGUCGUCAUCCGCUAAGGAGUGUGUGACAACUCACAUGCAGAAUCAACCAGCCCUGAAMAUGGAUGGCGCUGUAGCGUGGGACAUAUACCGGAUCGGUAUCGUAAKUGGCUGUCUCAAGACGGCUGUGAGUAAACGGUACCGUGUAGGAGGGUGCCGUGGUUGCAAAGAAGMUACUGGCGUGAGUCAGAGUGGAGCGGUCACGGGUACAGAUCUUGGUAGUAGUAGCAAUUAUUCAAGUGAGUCCUUGA